rnacentral:rRNA from 1 species
AGAGUUUGAUCCUGGCUCAGAACGAACGCUGGCGGCAGGCUUAACACAUGCAAGUCGAACGCACCGCAAGGUGAGUGGCAGACGGGUGAGUAACGCGUGGGAACGUGCCCUUCAGUUCGGGAUAACCCAGGGAAACUUGGGCUAAUACCGGAUACGUGCGAGAGCAGAAAGAUUGAUCGCUGAAGGAUCGGCCCGCGUCUGAUUAGCUAGUUGGUAGGGUAAUGGCCUACCAAGGCGACGAUCAGUAGCUGGUCUGAGAGGAUGAUCAGCCACAUUGGGACUGAGACACGGCCCAAACUCCUACGGGAGGCAGCAGUGGGGAAUAUUGGACAAUGGGCGCAAGCCUGAUCCAGCCAUGCCGCGUGAGUGAUGAAGGCCUUAGGGUUGUAAAGCUCUUUUCGGCGGGGACGAUAAUGACGGUACCCGCAGAAGAAGCCCCGGCUAACUUCGUGCCAGCAGCCGCGGUAAUACGAAGGGGGCUAGCGUUGUUCGGAAUCACUGGGCGUAAAGGGCGCGUAGGCGGCCUGAUAAGUCGGGGGUGAAAGCCUGUGGCUCAACCACAGAAUUGCCUUCGAUACUGUCGGGCUUGAGACCGGAAGAGGUAAGUGGAACUGCGAGUGUAGAGGUGAAAUUCGUAGAUAUUCGCAAGAACACCAGUGGCGAAGGCGGCUUACUGGUCCGGUUCUGACGCUGAGGCGCGAAAGCGUGGGGAGCAAACAGGAUUAGAUACCCUAGUAGUCC